rnacentral:rRNA from 1 species
UUCGCGAAGAACCUUACCUGGUCUUGACAUCCACGGAAGUUUUCAGAGAUGAGAAUGUGCCUUCGGGAACCGUGAGACAGGUGCUGCAUGGCUGUCGUCAGCUCGUGUUGUGAAAUGUUGGGUUAAGUCCGGCAACGAGCGCAACCCUCGUCCUAUGUUGCCAGCACGUUACGGUGGGAACUCAUGGGAUACUGCCGUGGUCAACACGGAGGAAGGUGGGGAUGACGUCAAAUCAUCAUGCCCCUUAUGUCUUGGGCUUCACGCAUGCUACAAUGGCCGAUACAAAGGGCUGCGAUACCGCGAGGUGGAGCGAAUCCCAAAAAGUCGGUCUCAGUUCGGAUUGGGGUCUGCAACUCGACCCCAUGAAGUCGGAGUCGCUAGUAAUCGCAGAUCAGCAACGCUGCGGUGAAUACGUUCCCGGGUCUUGUACACACCG